rnacentral:rRNA from 1 species
UUCCUGCGGCUUAAUUUGACCCAACACGGGAAACCUCACCCGGCCCGGACACGGAAAGGAUUGACAGAUUGAUAGCUCUUUCUCGAUUCUGUGGGUGGUGGUGCAUGGCCGUUCUUAGUUGGUGGAGCGAUUUGUCUGGUUAAUUCCGAUAACGAACGAGACUCCGGCAUGCUAACUAGUUACGCGGCCCCGUGCGGUCGGCGUCCAACUUCUUAGAGGGACAAGUGGCGUUCAGCCACACGAGAUUGAGCAAUAACAGGUCUGUGAUGCC